AAAGAUUAAGCCAUGCAUGUCUAAGUAUAAGCAAUUAUACGGCGAAACUGCGAAUGGCUCAUUAUAUAAGUUAUCGUUUAUUUGAUAGCACUUUUCUACUCGGAUAACUGUGGUAAUUCUAGAGCUAAUACGUGCUGAAAAUCCCGACUUCGGAAGGGCUGUAUUUAUUAGAUUAAAAACCAAUGCCCUUCGGGGCUUCUUGGUGAUUCAUGAUAACUUCUCGAAUCGCAUGGCCUUGCGCCGGCGAUGGUUCAUUCAAAUUUCUUCCCUAUCAACUUUCGAUGCGAGGGUAUUGUCCUCGCAUGGUUACAACGGGUAACGGAGGGUUAGGGCUCGACCCCGGAGAAGGAGCCUGAGAAACGGCUACUACAUCCAAGGAAGGCAGCAGGCGCGCAAAUUACCCAAUCCCGACACGGGGAGGUAGUGACAAUAAAUACUGAUACAGGGCUCUUUUGGGUCUUGUAAUCGGAAUGAGUACAAUUUAAAUCCCUUAACGAGGAACAAUUGGAGGGCAAGUCUGGUGCCAGCAGCCGCGGUAAUUCCAGCUCCAAUAGCGUAUAUUAAAGUUGUUGUGGUUAAAAAGCUCGUAGUUGAACCUUGGGCCUGGCUACAAGGACCGCCUCACCGCGAGAUCUUUCCGUAGCCGGGUCUUUCCCACUGUGGAACCUCAUGGCCUUCACUGGUCGUGGCGGGGAAACAGGACUUUUACUUUGAAAAAAUUAGAGUGCUCCAGGCAGGCCUAUGCUCGAAUACAUUAGCAUGGAAUAAUAAAAUAGGACGCGUGGUUCUAUUUUGUUGGUUUCUAGGACCGCCGUAAUGAUUAAUAGGGACAGUCGGGGGCAUCAGUAUUCAAUUGUCAGAGGUGAAAUUCUUGGAUCUAUUGAAGACUAACUACUGCGAAAGCAUUUGCCAAGGAUGUUUUCAUUGAUAAGGAACGAAAGUUAGGGGAUCGAAGACGAUCAGAUACCGUCGUAGUCUUAACUAUAAACUAUGCCGACUAGGGAUCGGACGAUGUUAUCUUUUGACUCGUUCGGCACCUUUCGAGAAAUCAAAGUGCUUGGGCUCCAGGGGGAGUAUGGUCGCAAGGCUGAAACUUAAAGGAAUUGACGGAAGA
rnacentral:rRNA from 1 species